UCCUACGGGAGGCAGCAGUAGGGAAUCUUCCGCAAUGGACGAAAGUCUGACGGAGCAACGCCGCGUGAGUGAUGAAGGCUUUCGGGUCGUAAAACUCUGUUGUUAGGGAAGAACAAGUGCUAGUUGAAUAAGCUGGCACCUUGACGGUACCUAACCAGAAAGCCACGGCUAACUACGUGCCAGCAGCCGCGGUAAUACGUAGGUGGCAAGCGUUAUCCGGAAUUAUUGGGCGUAAAGCGCGCGCAGGUGGUUUCUUAAGUCUGAUGUGAAAGCCCACGGCUCAACCGUGGAGGGUCAUUGGAAACUGUUAGACUUGAGUGCAGUAGAGGAGAGUGGAAUUCCAUGUGUAGCGGUGAAAUGCGUAGAUAUAUGGAGGAACACCGGUGGCGAAAGCGGCUCUCUGGACUGUAACUGACACUGAGGCUCGAAAGCGUGGGUAGCAAACAGGAUUAGAUACCCUGGUAGUCCACGCCGUAAACGAUGAGUGCUAGUUGUUUGGGGCUAUCCAGCCCUAAGUGACGCAGCAAACGCAUUAAGCACUCCGCCUGGGGAGUACGACCGCAAGGUUGAAACUCAAAGGAAUUGACGGA
rnacentral:rRNA from 1 species